rnacentral:lncRNA from 1 species
AUCCUCACUGAAAAGCAUACUCUUCUUUCUUUGUUUUCUGAGAAAGCUUGAUUGGCGAAAGCUAGAGGGAGAGGUCCGUGGAUCCACCAAUGGGGCAUCCCUUGACUUGAUGAGGUCUUGAAAAAUAGGAUCUUUGUCGGGGGGUGCCAACACUUGGUCUUAGAUCUUGUGGUCCAACUCGGAAUGUCACUAAUUUAUGUCAUAAGUAUGUGCUCUUUGAUAGCCUAUCUAAUGUCUGAGUGUGA